UUAGGCACCUUGUCUGGCUCAUGACCUAUUUAGUAUUUAUAUGCUGUUUAAUAUAACGUAGCCUAUUUUCAUGAUUAUUCAAAUAUGUUUUAUUCAAAUCCGUAUGGUUUGGUUUCAAUACCUGUGAGCGCAGAGCAGUAUUUCCAACCACUUGGUAUCCAAGAGAUCAUCAGACUCUGGGGAAGUAGAUAAAGGGCUUCAUUGCCAAAAUCCUGAAGUAUCCCUUUACGCAUCUUGCACUAUGAUGGGCGCAUUUCAUGUCUAUAUAAGAUGGAAGUGUCUCCUUGUCAUGUACUGACAGGUUGAUGGGGCCAACCGACAGGACAUGUUUAUCUCUCCCCACCUUCCUCUUUCCCCCGCAGAACAUGUUUAUCUCACUCUCUCUCUCUCUCUCCCGCGAGGACAUGUUUAUCUCACUCUCUCUCUCUCUCUCUCCCGGCAGGACAUGUUUAUAUCUCCCAACCUCUCCCAAAAUGUUUAUCUCACUCUCUCUCCCGGCAGGACAUGUUUAUCUCACUCUCUCUCUCUCUCUCUCCCGGAAGGACGUGGAGAUGAUGUGGAUGCGGUGGGACAUCGGUCAGGAGGGGAUAUUCUGUCCAUUAAGAAGGAGCGUGUGAAGGGAUCCUUUGUGUCCAUCCAUUCCUCUGGAUUUAGAGACUUCCUGCUGAAGCCAGAACUGCUGAGGGCUAUAGUGGACUGUGGCUUUGAGCAUCUCUCUGAGUUUCAGUAUGAGUGCAUCCCCCACAGAUGAUCCUGGUUGUGGAUGUGCUGUGCCAGGCCAAGUCUGGUAUGUUGUUCUGGCCACCCUACAGCAGCUGGAGCCUGUCACUAGACUGGUGUCCUGUGCUGGUGACAUGUCACACCUGAGAGCUGGCGUUUCAGAUCAACAAGGAGUCUUGAGAGAUUCUCCAUGCUGACUAU